GGUAGUGUAGUUAACACCUGCAUUAUUUGACGUUACCUACAGAAGAAGCACCGGCUAACUCCGUGCCAGCAGCCGCGGUAAUACGGAGGGUGCGAGCGUUAAUCGGAAUUACUGGGCGUAAAGCGCAUGCAGGCGGCCUGUUAAGUCAGAUGUGAAAGACCCGGGGCGUUAACCUCCGGAAAUUGCAUUUGAAACUAGGCAGGCUAGAGUCUUGUAGAGGGGGGUAGGAAGUUUCAGGUGUAGCGGUGAAAUAGCGUAGAGAUCUGAAGGAAUACCAGUGGCGAAGGCGGCCCCCUCGGACAAAGACUGACGCUCAGAUGCGAAAGCGUGGGGAGCAAACAGGAUUAGAUACCCUGGUAG
rnacentral:rRNA from 1 species